CCCGUACGACAGGGGAGCGCACACCGCGCUGAGAGUGCCAGCACCGGCAGACCCUCGAACCUGACCCGGAUCAUACCGGCGUAGGGAGUCGGGCUAUCUCGCCG
rnacentral:ncRNA from 2 species